AUUGAACGCUGGCGGCAUGCUUUACACGUGCAAGUCGAACGGCAGCGCGGGCUUCGGCCUGGCGGCGAGUGGCGAACGGGUGAGUAAUACAUCGGAACGUGCCCAGUAGUGGGGGAUAGCUCGGCGAAAGCCGGAUUAAUACCGCAUACGACCUGAGGGUGAAAGCGGGGGAUCUUCGGACCUCGCGCUAUUGGAGCGGCCGAUGGCAGAUUAGCUAGUUGGUGGGGUAAAGGCCUACCAAGGCGACGAUCUUUAGCUGGUCUGAGAGGACGACCAGCCACACUGGGACUGAGACACGGCCCAGACUCCUACGGGAGGCAGCAGUGGGGAAUUUUGGACAAUGGGCGAAAGCCUGAUCCAGCAAUGCCGCGUGUGUGAUGAAGGCCUUCGGGUUGUAAAGCACUGUUGGCGGGAACGAAAAGGACUGUGCCAAUACCACGGUUCGAUGACGGUACCCGCAGAAUAAGCACCGGCUAACUACGUG
rnacentral:rRNA from 1 species